GGCUAGUGAGGCCCUGAAAGUGACAACAGAUAUUCCAAAUACUUCCUAUCUGAAUAAAUAUUUAACCAAGGCUCUGAGGAGGCGCCCUCGAAUCCUCCCUCCCUAUCCCACUCAAUAUUCCACCAAGGCUCUGAGAAGGUGUUCACCAGUCCUCCCUCCCUGUCCUACUCAAUAUGCCACCAAGGCUCUGAGAAGGCGUUCACCAAUCCUCUCUCCCUAUCCCACUCAAUAUUCCACCAAGGCUCUGAGAAGGUGUUCACCAAUCCUCCCUCCCUAUCCUACCCAAUAUUCCACCAAGGCUCUGAGAAGGCGUUCACCAAUCCUCCCUCCCUAUCCUACCCAAUAUGCCACCAAGGCUCUGAGAAGGCAUUCACCAAUCCUCCCUCCCUAUCCUACCCAAUAUUCCACCAAGGCUCUGAGAAGGCGUUCACCAAUCCUCCCUCCCUAUCCUACUCAAUAUUCCACACCAAGGCUCUGAGAAGGCGUUCACCAAUCCUCCCUCCCUAUCCCACUCAAUAUUCCACACCAAGGCUCUGAGAAGGCAUUCACCAAUCCUCCCUCCCUAUCCUACUCAAUAUUCCACACCAAGGCUCUGAGAAGGCAUUCACCAAUCCUCCCUCCCUAUCCCACUCAAUAUUCCACAUCAAGGCUCUGAGAAGGCGUUCACCAAUCCUCCCUCCCUAUCCCACUCAAUAUUCCACACCAAGGCUCUGAGAAGGUGUUCACCAGUCCUCCCUCCCUAUCCUACUCAAUAUUCCACCAAGGCUCUGAGAAGGCGUUCACCAGUCCUCCCUCCCUAUCCUACUCAAUAUUCCACCAAGGCUCUGAGAAGGCGUUCACCAGUCCUCCCUCCCUAUCCCACUCAAUAUGCCACCAAGGCUCUGAGAAGGCGUUCACCAAUCCUCCCUCCCUAUCCUACCCAAUAUUCCACCAAGGCUCUGAGAAGGCGUUCACCAAUCCUCCCUCCCUAUCCUACCCAAUAUUCCACCAAGGCUCUGAGAAGGCGUUCACCAAUCCUCCCUCCCUAUCCUACCCAAUAUGCCACCAAGGCUCUGAGAAGGCGUUCACCAGCCACCAAGGCUCUGAGAAGGCGUUCACCAAUCCUCCCUCCCUAUCCCACUCAAUAUGCCACCAAGGCUCUGAGGAGGUGUUCACCAGUCCUCCCUCCCUAUCCCACUCAAUAUGCCACCAAGGCUCUGAGAAGGCGUUCACCAAUCCUCCCUCCCUAUCCCACUCAAUAUGCCACCAAGGCUCUGAGAAGGCAUUCACCAAUCCUCCCUCCCUAUCCCACUCAAUAUGCCACCAAGGCUCUGAGAAGGCAUUCACCAAUCCUCCCUCCCUAUCCCACUCAAUAUGCCACCAAGGCUCUGAGAAGGCGCCACCAAUCCUCCCUCCCUAUCCCACUCCAACUUCACCAAGGCUCUGAGAAUGCGCCCAUAAAUGCUCCCGAGUGAAUGGGAGACAAGGAUGCAGGAGGACACAGCCUCACACAGAAGCUCUCCUGGUCCUUGGGCCUCCUGCUCCACCAACAGACUCAGCACAGCAGAAUCAGAGGACACCUGGACCCCUGUGUGGGGGGUACUGCCAGGUUGGGCCGCAAGGCAGGCAGAGCUCCAAACCCCAGGGACUCCCCGAGCAGAACCCAGUUUAAUCGUGCAGCCGACUAUUCAGAGAAGACCCCGGCUGGCUCUUCUGACAGUCUUGGUCAGUCCUGCCUCUGUCCCCCUGGGUCCUGCCUCUGUUCCCUAGCUGGUCAGGCCCAUUCCCACCCCACGUCCCUCCAGCCUGGGCCCAGGCCUCCACCUUCCACCUGUGUACGACGCACACACUGCCCACUGCAGCAGCGAGGGAGGCACAGCCGUUACAGCAAACAGGAAGUUGCAACAGCUCUGAAAAACCGUAACGGUGAUGGAGAAAAU
rnacentral:lncRNA from 1 species